UGCCAGCCGCCGCGGUAAUACGGAGGGUGCGAGCGUUAAUCGGAAUUACUGGGCGUAAAGCGCGCGUAGGCGGUUUGAUAAGCUGGAUGUGAAAGCCCCGGGCUCAACCUGGGAACUGCAUCCAGAACUGUCUGACUAGAAUACAAUAGAGGUGAGUGGAAUUUCCUGUGUAGCGGUGAAAUGCGUAGAUAUAGGAAGGAACAUCAGUGGCGAAGGCGACUCACUGGAUUGAUAUUGACGCUAAGGUGCGAAAGCGUGGGGAGCGAACAGGAUUAGAUA
rnacentral:rRNA from 1 species